rnacentral:rRNA from 1 species
UAAACCCCUUUUAGUAGGGAAGAAGCGAAAGUGACGGUACCUACAGAAAAAGCGCCGGCUAACUACGUGCCAGCAGCCGCGGUAAUACGUAGGGCGCAAGCGUUGUCCGGAAUUAUUGGGCGUAAAGAGCUCGUAGGCGGUUUGUCGCGUCUGCUGUGAAAUCCCGAGGCUCAACCCCGGGUCCGCAGUGGGUACGGGCAGACUAGAGUGUGGUAGGGGAGACUGGAAUUCCUGGUGUAGCGGUGGAAUGCGCAGAUAUCAGGAGGAACACCAAUGGCGAAGGCAGGUCUCUGGGCCACAACUGACGCUGAGGAGCGAAAGCGUGGGGAGCGAACAGGAUUAGAUACCCUGGUAGUCCACGCCGUAAACGGUGGGCACUAGAUGUGGGGCUCUUUCCAUGAGUUCCGCGUCGCAGCUAACGCAUUAAGUGCCCCGCCUGGGGAGUACGGCCGCAAGGCUAAAACUCAAAUGAAUUGACGGAA